GGCCCCAUCGUCUAGCCUGGUUAGGACGUCAGCUUCUCAAGCUGAAGACACGAGUUCAAAUCUCGUUGGGGCUA
rnacentral:tRNA from 1 species